GACGAACGCUGGCGGCGUGCCUAAUACAUGCAAGUCGAGCGGACAGACGGGAGCUUGCUCCCUGAUGUUAGCGGCGGACGGGUGAGUAACACGUGGGUAACCUGCCUGUAAGACUGGGAUAACUCCGGGAAACCGGGGCUAAUACCGGAUGGUUGUCUGAACCGCAUGGUUCAGACAUAAAAGGUGGCUUCGGCUACCACUUACAGAUGGACCCGCGGCGCAUUAGCUAGUUGGUGAGGUAACGGCUCACCAAGGCAACGAUGCGUAGCCGACCUGGGAGGGGGAGCGGCCACACUGGGACUGAGACACGGCCCAGACGCCUACGGGAGGCAGCAGUAGGGAAGCUUCCGCAAUGGACGAAAGUCUGACGGAGCAACGCCGCGUGAGUGAUGAAGGUUUUCGGAUCGUAAAGCUCUGUUGUUAGGGAAGAACAAGUGCCGUUCAAAUAGGGCGGCACCUUGACGGUACCUAACCAGAAAGCCACGGCUAACUACGUG
rnacentral:rRNA from 1 species